AGUUUGAUCAUGGCUCAGAUUGAACGCUGGCGGCAGGCCUAACACAUGCAAGUCGAACGGUAACAGGAAACAGCUUGCUGUUUCGCUGACGAGUGGCGGACGGGUGAGUAAUGUCUGGGAAACUGCCCGAUGGAGGGGGAUAACUACUGGCAACGGUAGCGAAUACGGCAUAACGUCGCAAGACCAAAGAGGGGGACCUUCGGGCCGCGUGCCAGCGGGUGUGCCCAGAUGGGAUUAGCUAGUAGGUGGGGUAAC
rnacentral:rRNA from 1 species